rnacentral:misc_RNA from 1 species
CAAAAUCAAUCAAUUAGAGUGUGAUCUCGAUCCUGUUCUCUUCCUUUUUCACUUACUUCUCUCCAAGUUAAAUCUUCACAACUAUCUUCUCUGUCCAAUCUAAUGCUUUUUGGCAUAAGAUAAGUAAAGCAGUUAUUAAUAGCAAAAAGAAGUCAUGGAUGGUUCUCCCUGCUCUCCAGAACUUGACUCUAAAGUUUCAGAGCUCAAAUCAGAAACUCAGGCCUCCAAAAGAAGGAAGCUGGUUGAGAAGACUGUUGUUACAGUGAGGAUUGGAGAAAAUGCUGGGAAAGUAAAGCAUGAAGGGCCACCUUCUGAUUUUUGGUCUUGGAGGAAAUAUGGGCAAAAACCGAUCAAGGGAUCUCCCUAUCCAAGGGGCUAUUACAGGUGCAGCACAUCAAAGGGCUGUUCAGCCAAAAAACAAGUGGAGAGAUGCAGAACAGAUGCUUCUUUACUGAUAAUUACGUACACCUCGACCCACAACCACCCAGGUCCUGAUAUCCAUAGUACCAACCUCAACCAACAACUAAACGAAUCCCAAGCCCCAUCCACAGAUGAAGAUCGUCCUACAACUCCAAAACAAGAACAACAGGAAGAGGAGAAUCAUAAUCAACCCACUGUUUCAAUCAGUCCAAAAGAUGACAAUGAAGGCCACAAUUUUCACUACUUACAAUCCCCAAUAAACUGUUCUCAAGAUAUCAUGAUUAGCCAAGAAGAUCCGUUCACUGAGAACCCUACAGAAAAAACUGAUGACACACUGGAUAUUCUCUUAGAUGAAGAGCCCAUCUCUUGCCCUAGAAUGAUGACACUUGCAACACCCAAAUCAGAAGAAAAUGACUUCUUUGA